UACGUAGGGGGCUAGCGUUGUCCGGAAUCAUUGGGCGUAAAGAGCUCGUAGGCGGUUCGUCGCGUCGGCUGUGAAAUCCCGAGGCUCAACCUCGGGUCUGCAGUCGAUACGGGCGGACUGGAGUUCGGCAGGGGAGACUGGAAUUCCUGGUGUAGCGGUGAAAUGCGCAGAUAUCAGGAGGAACACCGGUGGCGAAGGCGGGUCUCUGGGCCGAUACUGACGCUGAGGAGCGAAAGCGUGGGGAGCAAACAGG
rnacentral:rRNA from 1 species